AAACCAACAGGGAUUACCUCAGUAACGGCGAGUGAAGCGGUAACAGCUCAAAUUUGAAAGCUGCCAACAGGCCGCGUUGUAAUUUGUAGAAGAUGCUUUGGGUGUUGGCCUAGUCUAAGUUCCUUGGAACAGGACGUCAUAGAGGGUGAGAAUCCCGUAUGUGAUUAGUGCUAUCCCCCGUGUAAAGCUCUUUCGACGAGUCGAGUUGUUUGGGAAUGCAGCUCAAAAUGGGUGGUAAAUUUCAUCUAAAGCUAAAUAUUGGCCAGAGACCGAUAGCGCACAAGUAGAGUGAUCGAAAGAUGAAAAGCACUUUGGAAAGAGAGUUAAACAGUACGUGAAAUUGUUGAAAGGGAAGCGCUUGCAAUCAGACUUGCGGGCGGUUGAUCAUCCGAGGUUCUCCCCGGUGCACUCGAUCGUCCUCAGGCCAGCAUCGGUUUUAGUGGUGGGAUAAAGGCUGUGAGAAUGUGGCUCUUCGGGGUGUUAUAGCUCACGGUGCAAUGCCGCCUACUGGGACCGAGGACCGCGCUUCGGCUAGGAUGCUGGCGUAAUGGUUGUAAGCGAC
rnacentral:rRNA from 1 species